CAAGUCGAGCGAGAGGAAGUAGCAAUACUUUAGUAAAGCGGCGCACGGGUGAGUAACACGUGGAUAACCUGCCUCGAAGUGGGGAAUAACCNCGGGAAACCGGAGCUAAUACCGCAUAAUCUGACGAGAUCUGUGGAUUUUGUCAGCAAAGGAGCAAUUCGCUUUGAGAGGGGUCCGCGGCUGAUUAGCUAGUUGGUGAGGUAAUGGCUCACCAAGGCCACGAUCAGUAGCCGGUCUGAGAGGACGGUCGGCCACACUGGAACUGAGACACGGUCCAGACUCCUACGGGAGGCAGCAGUGGGGAAUUUUUCGCAAUGGGGGCAACCCUGACGAAGCAACGCCGCGUGGGUGAUGAAGUAUUUCGGUACGUAAAACCCUUUCGACGGGGACGAAACCGCAAGGUUGACGGUACCCGUAGAAGAAGCCCCGGCUAACUCCGUGCCAGCAGCCGCGGUAAUACGGGGGGGGCAAGCGUUGUUCGGAAUUACUGGGCGUAAAGGGCGCGUAGGCGGUUCGCUAAGUUGGAUGUGAAAACUCUGGGCUUAACCCAGAGCCUGCAUCCAAAACUGGCAAACUUGAGUACUGGAGGGGAAAGCGGAAUUCCUGGUGUAGCGGUGAAAUGCGUAGAUAUCAGGAGGAACACCGGUGGCGAAGGCGGCUUUCUGGACAGUAACUGACGCUGAGGCGCGAAAGCUAGGGGAGCAAACAGGAUUAGAUACCCUGGUAGUCCUAGCCCUAAACGAUGGAUACUUGGUGUGAGGGGGAUUGAAUCCCUUCGUGCCGUAGCUAACGCAAUAAGUAUCC
rnacentral:rRNA from 1 species